rnacentral:rRNA from 1 species
CAAAGCACUUUGAAGAGAGAGUUAAAGAGGACGUGAAACCGAUGAGGUGGAAACGGACAGAGCCGGCGUAUCUGGCCCGCAUUCAGCAGUGGGCUUGCGUGCUCCUUCGCUGCUGCUCUCCAGACUGGGACAGUGGUGUUGUUUGUGCGUGAGCUUGUUGUGCAUUUGCGGGUGGAGUGCGCCGAGGCGCUCGGUGCAGCUGUGCGAGCUUCGUCUUGAGGCCAGCUCCUCACGGAGUCUGGUACCCGGGCGGGGGGAGUGCUGUUUGCGCUGAGUGGAUGUGUGCGUGUGGUGAUGGUUUCGGGCCCGGGUGGGCGCCGAGCUGGCAGUUGGUGACGGUCGCGUGCGACACGUGCCCGCGUUCAGUUCGGUCCUGCUCGAGCUCCCUCUUUGCCACGCCUCGGUGUAAAAGCCGGUCAUCUGUCCGACCCGUCUUGAAACACGGACCAAGGAGUUUAGCGUGUGCGCGAGUCAUUGGGCGUUGAAAACCCAAGGGCGCAAUGAAGGUGAAUGACUCCCUCGUGGAGCUGAUGUGUGAUCCCUGGUGCUGCGGCGCCGGGGCGCAACAUGGUCCCGUUCUGACCGCUUGCGGUGGGGCGGAGACAGAGCGUACGCGCUGAGAUCCGAAAGAUGGUGAACUAUUCCUGAGCAGGAUGAAGCCAGAGGAAACUCUGGUGGAAGUCCGAAGCGAUUCUGACGUGCAAAUCGAUCGUCUGACUUGGGUAUAGGGGCGAAAGACUAAUCGAACCAUC